rnacentral:siRNA from 1 species
UAGUACCCUGCCACGGUACAG